CAGGGGAACGUCCUUUCCAGUGCGGGCAGUGUCUGAAGACAUUUACACAGAAGUGCGCUCUAACAUUGCACACACGAAUUCAUACGGGUUAUUGGAGCAUGCAUAAGCCGUUCCAGUGUACCCAAUGCAAUGCUGCAUUCUGCCGUAAACCAUAUCUUGACAUUCAUAUGCGAAUACACACUGGUGAACGUCCUUUCCAAUGCGAGGUAUGCUUGAAACGUUUCACACAGAAAUCAACGCUCAAUAUCCAUAAGCGAAUUCACACUGGUUAG